CCUACGGGAGGCAGCAGUGAGGAAUAUUGGUCAAUGGACGAGAGUCUGAACCAGCCAAGUAGCGUGAAGGAUGACUGCCCGAUGGGGUGUAAACUUCUUUUAUAAAGGAAUAAAACGAGGCACGUGUGCCUUUUUGCAUGUACUUUAUGAAUAAGGAUCGGCUAACUCCGUGCCAGCAGCCGCGGUAAUACGGAGGAACCGAGCGUUAUCCGGAUUUAUUGGGUUUAAAGGGAGCGUAGAUGGGUUGUUUAGUCCGUUGUGAAAGUUUGCGGCUCAACCGUAAAAUUGCAAUUGAUACUGGCAGUCUUGAGUACAGUUGAGGUAGGCGGAAUUCGUGGUGUAGCCGUGAAAUGCUUAGAUAUCACGAAGAACCCCGAUUGCGAAGGCAGCUUACUAAACUGUGACUGACAUUGAUGCUCGAAAGUGUGGGUAUCAAACAGGAUUAGAUACCCUGGUAGUC
rnacentral:rRNA from 1 species